UCCUAAAUCUGUAACAUGAUAUCCUCCAAAACCGAGUCUCGUGUAACAUUUCCUCCCCCGUGAAGUACACGUUUUUUCGUCAGGUCAUAUUUUAGAAAUGACGUGAAAGACGAAAGCCAACAACUUAAAUUACUUUCAAUUUUGAAAAUAAAUAAUUUCAGGGCUUGUGGUUUAAAUGAUAGAUGCCGACAGCGUUAUCACUUAUACACAGAGUACAUACUACACUGUUGGGAAACGGACACCGGAUAUAGCUCAGAAAGUGAUAAAUCAAUGACACACGCUGACUAUUUUACCAUAUUCUCUUUUGUAUUAUAUGGUGAUACAUUUAUCAAAAUCGAAGAGUUUCGAAAAGCUUGAUCCUAUGCAAUAUACUAUGUCCCUACUCUUAAAUGAAAGUUGCAUAACCGCUCAAAAAUGUUCAGUAAAGUGGUAGGAUUUCAAACAUAAAACAACAAAUAGAAAAUUAGAAUAAAAACAAAAUCGAUUGAUUUUAUUAUAAUUUCAUCUUUCAGUAUUGUGUAAGAUAGCAAUACAGUAUGUUUUGUUGUAACGGAGAGACCUGAAAGUGAGCUGUGGAUAGACAAAGCAAAUAUGUAACUGUACAGGGGCUAGUUUUUAUUACAGGGCAAUAAAAUGACACCACAGCUAGUCAUUGCCAUAGAAUUUGGAACCUAUGCCUGUGGAAUCGCCUUGCAGUGGAGAUCCGACUAUGAGAAUACCAACUGCGUGAAAAGUAUUAAGGUACCAACCAAAUGGUCAUCGACGGGAUUUUGCAUCAGGAAGACACCGUCGUGCAUUUUGCUGAAACCUGACAAAAGUGUAGCAGAAUUUGGUUACAAGGCAGACUUUCUAUUUAGCAAAAAUGAAUCGAUUCCUAUGUGUGUGUGUGUUCGGGUUUAACGUCUUUCUCAACAAUUUUUCAGUCAUAUAAACGACGGGAUUCCUAUGAGUAGGCGUCCAAAAGACUGAGACGAUUGGUUUUUCUUCAAAUAUUUUAAGCUGCAACUAGACAGUAGGAAGGUUUGUUACUUAUACGUAUAUACAAAAUGUAUGUUCAAUGUACUAUUGUUUAUCAUUCUGUUUUUUUUUUUUUUGUUUUUUUUUACACAGACGCAAAGUGGCAUCGUUAUAAUGGA